CCUACGGGUGGCAGCAGUGGGGAAUAUUGCACAAUGGGGGAAACCCUGAUGCAGCGACGCCGCGUGAAGGAAGAAGUCCUUCGGUGUGUAAACUUCUAUCAGCAGGGAAGAAAAUGACGGUACCUGACUAAGAAGCCCCGGCUAACUACGUGCCAGCAGCCGCGGUAAUACGUAGGGGGCAAGCGUUAUCCGGAUUUACUGGGUGUAAAGGGAGCGUAGGCGGUUUAGCAAGUCAGAAGUGAAAGCCCGGGGCUCAAGCCCGGGACUGCUUUUGAAACUGUGGAACUAGAGUGCAGGAGAGGUAAGUGGAAUUCCUAGUGUAGCGGUGAAAUGCGUAGAUAUUAGGAGGAACACCAGUGGCGAAGGCGGCUUACUGGACUGUAAAUGACACUGAGGCUCGAAAGCGUGGGGAGCAAACAGGAUUAGAUACCCUAGUAGUC
rnacentral:rRNA from 1 species